GUGUCUUCAUUGCUUCCUUCGCUCUUUAUAUCUUCCGAUCCAAAACUUCUCGCUCUCCCUCUCAUCCCCAAGGAAUCUCCCUUGUUUGAUUUCAUUUCAAUUCAAUUCAAUUCAAUUCAGGAUUAAGGAAAAGCUUUAGUUACAUGCUUCCACGGGAAGUGCUUUAAUGCAGCAAAGGAAAUGGUGACUGCAGGGUUGAGAUGAGCACCGGAGAUGUGGCCGGUGGAGAGGAUGAUGAUCAUAACGGCAAGACCAGUCGAGGUAGCACAUCCGAUCAGAGUUUCCGCCCCGUUUGUCUUUUGGUUUACAAUAGCAGUGGCUGUCCCAGCAAACAUCAGAAUAAAUGUCCCUAUAAACUCAGCUCCUAUCUGUAACACAGGAGGAGGAGGUGGCAUUAAUGAACAAGUGACGGUGGGUAGAGCUCCAUCUUCUAAGGUCCAUUCUUGGACACCGAAACAUUUACAAUUCUUUAGGAGGGACUUCUUGUACUUAUUACUACCAUUCCCACUUCUCUCUGACUUAAACCCACCAAACAGAGGUGCACCAGGAGUGCCUGGUGUUGCUGGUGCUGAUGGAAUUUCCUCAUUAUUAAUAUGCUCCAUUUCUCCAAUCAAUAGUAAAUUUAAUUUAGACAAGAAAAGGUCAGAAUUCAGACUAUGGAAGUGAGCUCAAGGUGAUUGUUGCUAUUGUAUGUCAAGUAUAUAUAGCAGUAACAAGCAAGGGAGUAUAGUUGACUUAUUGUAUAGCAUGAUUGGCAUUACUAGGAAAAUGAAAAGAAGCAAAUUAGUGGUUGAAACUGAGAUAUGAGAAAAAGGUAGCAGCAUGUGGAAGUGGACGGUGGGACAAUCAGUACUGAGGUGACUCUUACAUGACUCUAGAACUUAGCAAAAAGGCUUGGUUCACGGUACACUACACUAGGCAUCAAUUAUAGUAUAUAGUUUUUGGUUCAUCUUCUAUUGAAGUACAUAUGUAUAUGUAUGCAAUCAAUCUUUAUUAUAAAAUUGCCUAUAUCAACUUGUAUAUUA